rnacentral:rRNA from 1 species
UACGAAGGGGGCUAGCGUUGCUCGGAAUCACUGGGCGUAAAGGGUACGUAGGCGGGUCUUUAAGUCAGGGGUGAAAUCCUGGAGCUCAACUCCAGAACUGCCUUUGAUACUGAGGAUCUUGAGUACGGGAGAGGUGAGUGGAACUGCGAGUGUAGAGGUGAAAUUCGUAGAUAUUCGCAAGAACACCAGUGGCGAAGGCGGCUCACUGGCCCGUAACUGACGCUGAGGCACGAAAGCGUGGGGAGCAAACAGG